AAUAACCAAAUAUAACGGGCUAAGGGUCAAAUUGGUAAUUUUUCUUACAUCUCCCCCCCAGGGGCCCAGGUAUCAUAUACACCGCCAAAAUAAAGAGCCUUGAGUACUAGAAGAAAAGCACCUAGACCUAACAAAAUUAAGUGAAUACCCAAAAUUGUAGUCAUUUUAUUUCUAUCUUUCCA
rnacentral:antisense_RNA from 2 species